UCGGGUUUUUAAUUUUGUAGACUUUUCCUAGGAUAGAGAGUCGUACACCUCUGUGACUCAGCUCAAGGACAUGCCUCGCCGCGACCAAGUACGCAGUCUAACCUUGUUUAGUGGGAUACGAGUAGUUGCAA